AGAAGAUAAACUGCAGUUCUUUGUGAUCGUACUGUAAUGCCGUUUUGAACUCGUCGAUCGACAUCCAGAAUAAGGGUGGGGUGUCGCAUAUCUGCGCGGGAGGCGACUCCGCCCCAUCCGCCGCCCCGCCCUACCUUCACCCCCUUUCAACUUGAUUGCGAAAUUAUUCAGAUAAAGCCGACAAAAAAUAAUCACCUUAUCUCCUAAUUAUGAAACUGUAGACUUUCCUCCUGCCUGCGAUAAUAUUAGAAUAUUAAAAAAAAAAGUUUACCCGCAACAACAAUUACUAAUCGCGUAGAUAAAUAAACUUUGUAAAAAUAAUGUAAUACAAUCCUUUUUUUUAUAUUUCUCCUUAAAUAAAAUAAUGAUAUUUUUAUUAAUUAAUUCAUGUAAUUUCCUGUCUCUCUUUGUAUCAAAUUCAUCAAAAUUGGCUUAGCUGUUUAGACGUUAAAAAUUAAGUACCUGAUAAGUAUAUCUUUGUCUUGUUGAAAUAAACUUUUAUCAAUA